rnacentral:lncRNA from 1 species
GCGAACACAUGUAGUGUGCCCAAUUGAUUAAUUGAUUGAUUGGCUUAAGUUAGGCUAAUAAGUGUGUAGAUUUAGGGCCUGUUUAGUUGGGAGCUAACUUUGGCAUAGUUGUGUUUUUUCUUUCAGAAAUUGACCUACCCUUUGGCUUGGUUAAUAGAAUCCUGUCACAGCUUUUGAGUGAAAGAUGCAUGAGGCAUGGUUGUAAAAAAGGAAAUAUCUUGCCAAAUGUAUGACUAGAACUGAACAUUCACCUAAGUUGGUCAAAUUUGUUUACUUGUGUUUGCCUACUUUGGGGAAAGGGAAUGAGAGUUUACACGUGGAAUCAAACAUUCAC